rnacentral:rRNA from 1 species
UGAGUUUGAUCCUGGCUCAGAUUGAACGCUGCGGCAGGCCUAACACAUGCAAGUCGAGCGGAUGACAGGAGCNUUGCUCCUGAAUUCAGCGGCGGACGGGUGAGUAAUGCCUAGGAAUCUGCCUGGUAGUGGGGGACAACGUUUCGAAAGGAACGCUAAUACCGCAUACGUCCUACGNGAGAAAGCAGGGGACCUUCGGGCCUUGCGCUAUCAGAUGAGCCUAGGUCGGAUUAGCUAGUUGGUGAGGUAAUGGCUCACCAAGGCGACGAUCCNGUAACUGGUCUGAGAGGAUGAUCAGUCACACUGGAACUGAGACACGGUCCAGACUCCUACGGGAGGCAGCAGUGGGGAAUAUUGGACAAUGGGCGAAAGCCUGAUCCAGCCAUGCCGCGUGUGUGAAGAAGGUCUUCGGAUUGUAAAGCACUUUAAGUUGGGAGGAAGGGCAUUAACCUAAUACGUUAGUGUUUUGACGUUACCGACAGAAUAAGCACCGGCUAA